rnacentral:rRNA from 1 species
AGUGAACGCUGGCGGUAGGCCUAACACAUGCAAGUCGAACGGCAGCACAGUAAGAGCUUGCUCUUACGGGUGGCGAGUGGCGGACGGGUGAGGAAUACAUCGGAAUCUACUUUUUCGUGGGGGAUAACGUAGGGAAACUUACGCUAAUACCGCAUACGACCUACGGGUGAAAGCAGGGGAUCUUCGGACCUUGCGCGAUUGAAUGAGCCGAUGUCGGAUUAGCUAGUUGGCGGGGUAAAGGCCCACCAAGGCGACGAUCCGUAGCUGGUCUGAGAGGAUGAUCAGCCACACUGGAACUGAGACACGGUCCAGACUCCUACGGGAGGCAGCAGUGGGGAAUAUUGGACAAUGGGCGCAAGCCUGAUCCAGCCAGACCGCGUGGGUGAAGAAGGCAUUCGGGUUGUAAAGCCCUUUUGUUGGGAAAGAAAAGCAGCAGGUUAAUACCCCGCUGUUCUGACGGUACCCAAAGAAUAAGCACCGGCUAACUUCGUG